CCACGUGGAGGUCCUGGAGCGGGAGCCGAGGCGGGGCCGUGCGCUCCCCCUGCGCUCCAGGGAGCCACCGAGUGUUGGGCCGUCGCUGACCGCAGGCUGCGAAAGCGGUUGAUCUGAAGCCUAGCUCGUGGAGACUCCAGGGAUUCCCAGGGACUGGCCAACCAAGCCCAGCCCUUUUGGGCGGUUUGGGAACCCCCUGGCCUGACGCCAAGAAUAAGAAGCUUCCAGACACGAGCGGGUGAGAAUGUGAGGCCGGGUGGAGGAAAAUGACUGCAGACUGCCCCUGGAGUCUGACCCCUCUCUUGGUCCUGCCCAAGCUUUGGUUCAGGCCGAAGCACAUUUUGCCCGGUCGCCAUCCUUCCCUAGGGCCAGACGGCGCCUAGUGGUGAUCGGGAAGGUUCCACUCCCAAACCCAGGAGAGAAAGAAUCAUGGUUUUUGAUCCCGAGCACCCGCUAUGUGGAAGGCUCUGCGAUGGAUUCUGCUAAGGAUGUGUUUGUUACAAAAGUGGCAGACACAGGCGCCGAGGCCCGUUAUUCUCCCUCUUGCUUCCCUGGGGAGUCUCCCCAUCCUCAAGCCCGGCCUCUUAAAGCCUCUGAACAACAACAGCCAAAUCUGAUUCCCUCGCUGAGCGCCCAGCACAGGCAAUUUGUACCUUUCUCACGGUACACCGUGUGGCCUGGCACCUAUUCUAGGGAUCUGUUUACUAAUCCUGUUCUUCUAACCAGAUUAGAACGUCCUUGAGGCCGAAACAAAGUCGGCUUCAUCCGGGAGGCCUCCUCCCACCUCUCCAGCUUCUACUCCACACAUCACCAUCAUCAUCAUCAUCAUCUUUGGAGUGGCAGUCCCUGGAACUGGGGCAUAUGGAAAUGUCUCCCCUGCCGUUGGGGAGUCUGCAGGCUGCUUAAAGAGACAGACACGCAAGGCUAAACUCUGGGCUCAGAGCUUUGUGUACAGGAACUCAUAUGUGGGAAACUGAGCAAUGGAAAGAGAGGGUAUGUGGACAAAUUCUUUAUUCUCAUAUUUAAUAAGCCUGGGGUUGGGGGGCAGGGUUCUGGGUGGAAGGACGCCCCAUCACAUUCUCAUAAAUAAGAUCAGUCCCCACAAUGUCUUUUCAUAUAGUGCUACCUUAAAGUUCCCUCUUAUAAGUAGAUGGCUGAUUGCUAUCUGGCCCACAGCUUUAUCUAUAGUAGCAAACAUGUUGCUAUUGCUCUCCCUGCUCAGGGGACAGUCAUGCCCCUUACCUGCCCCAGUGCUGGUGUUAGGUUACCCUUUCAAUGAACUCUGGGACCUGUAGGGUUAGGGGACAGCCUACUUUGUUAUGUUUGUGGUUACCUGUAAUUAAGGGGGCUUGCAUGCCCCCAAGACUAUAUACAUUGAUAAAAGAUUUCAUUCUCUCUUUCCCUGACCUGGUUCCUGAUGCCAUGGCAGAGAUGAGCACCCCAAAACUUUUGUCUGUCUCUUUAUUUCUUCCCUUUAAUUACACAACUGUCCCUUAGAACCCAUCUGGAUGUGGGCUGGAUCCCACACUCAUAUAGUUUUCAGAACUACUAUGAGUGGGGGCUCAGGAGGUAUUGAUAGCCCCACCUCCCUUGGGCUGUUAAGGAAACCGAGGCACAGAUAAAUGACGGGACUGGGAUUCACACUCAGGUCUAUCCGAGAUCAAAACUAGCCCUCCGGAAUGCUCUGCUAAGUAGCUUUUUUUUUUUUUUUUGCUAAGUAGCUUUGACCGGGACCCUACCCCAUAAAUCCUUAAGCCACCAAGGCCUGUGCCC